rnacentral:tRNA from 1 species
AAUUUAAAUAGUUUAAUUAAAACAUUGUAUUUUCAGCACAAAGAUAAUUUUUAUUUUUAAAU